CUCCCAGGUCGGGCUGGACAGCGCAGGGCCACGGCUGAGGCGGCUCCGGUGACGGCGGACCUCACUGAGGACUUGGGGAUGUGGAGCCGAGUCCUGAAUCCGCUGGGAGGAGGUCCUACUCCCCAGCCCCGCUCCCCGCCCUGCCACCCCUGGAAUUGGGGAGGGCUCAGCCUGGGUGGAGGGAGGACAAGGACGCCUGAGACCACACGGACUGGCAUAUGGGGACGGACCUCCAACGAGGGGCCCAGAUCCAGUCUGCUGAGAUCUCCCUUCUGGCCGUCUUGGCUGCCGUUCAGGCAGUGGAGAAAAGAUGGAGUCUCAGGCUAUCUGACUUCAAAGCCUGGAGGGGUGCACGGAGACAGCAGAGAAGAAGCUGGCCGACUGCGAGAAGACGGCCAUGGAGUUCGGGAACCAGCUGGAGGGCAAGUGGGCUGUGCUGGGGACCCUGCUGCAGGAGUACGGGCUGCUGCAGAGGCGGCUGGAGAGCGUGGAGAACCUGCUGCGCAACAGGAACUUCUGGAUCCUGCGGCUGCCCCCGGGCAGCAAGGGGGAGGCCCCCAAGGUGCCGGGGCCCCUGAAGAUGCAGCGCUGUAUUUUUCAGAGCCUCGAGGGCGUGCCCCAGAGAACCGGCAGGAGGAGCUCUGCACGGGCGCCGUGAAGGGGAACCAUGAGGCCUUGCGCUCCCCGGGCUGUGCUGCCACCAAGCCAGAACUCCUGACCGCAACAGAGAAGGGAGAGGAGGCAGGCAGCCAUGGCUUGCCCAGUGCAGAUGGGGGUCAGCACCCUGAGCUGUGGCUGGUCAGCAAAGAGAAGAGUCUGGAGGAAGAGUCCAAGGCGCAGGAGCCAGCCUGGGAAGCUGAAGGGGGACCUGGCAAGGAGGGCUUGGAGGGGCUACCUGUGGGGAUCUGCCUCCUGUCCCCAGGAGAGAAGUGGCUUCCAUCCCUCCAAGCCCCCAGAACCUGGCUGUGGGCAUGGGGCAGUGCCCACCCUGCACCAAGUGUGGCCAGAGCUCUGGCUGGAAGGAGCACUGUGUCCCCCAGCCCUGUGCCCACUGUCCCCAAAGCUUCACACAGUGGGCCACGCUUGCCUGCCAUCGCCAUGCGCACCUAUGCCUGCAGCCAGUGUGGCAAGAGUUUUGUGCACCAGUCCAUACUCGCCGCCCACAACCACACGCACACCAGCGAGAAGCCCUUCCAGUGCUCCCAGCGUGGCAAGUGCUUCGUGUGGAAGCCCAGUUUCACGUGGCACCUGCGCGGCCACCGCAGGAGAAGGGCUAUCCCUGCGGCCAGUGUGGCGAGAGCUUCACCUGUCCCUCCUGGCUUGUGCUCCACGAGGGCAGCCACGCCAGCCAGCCAGCCUCCCCAUCUCAUGCGGUGUGUGAGGGGGCUCCCCAGGUGGGGGGCCCGGCCACCUCCUCAAGGGUGCAAUGUGGGGAAGGCCCCCCAGUGACCCUUCUGCUGUGCCCAGAUUUGAGGGCACAGCAGAGGACUGAGCAGGCUCUCGGGGAGCCCCGGGGACAGGCAGCUGAGUGGUGGUGGUCAGGAAGGUCUGGCGGGGUCCCUGCACAGUUCUCCCUGUCGUGUGAAGAUGGAGAAUGCAGGCUAGCACCUGGAGAAGUCCCUUAAGGGGCCACUAAGGGUGCCGGGGCGAUUGGUGCUCCUUGAAUCCAAGCAGCCUCUCCGCAGGGGCACUCCUUGGCCGGGUGUGAGUCUCCUGUGCUGCUGUCUGGGCUUCCCAGGGCCCGUGAGGGGGGCAGAGUGCCCACGGGUGUCUUGCUACAGGGGGGUGGCAUGGAGGCGGGGCCCAGGGUGAGAUCUGAGCCUUACUGGAGGGGACUGUCAGGGUGUGGGUUCGGGUGGAGGGGAGUGGCUUACUGUCCUUGUUCUGUUAGGGGAGUGACUCUUGGAGACGCUGGUUAGGAGAUGGCGAUUGCUUAGUGCCUACACGGGGAGCCAGGGCUUGCAUACCCUGAACCGUGCCUCUUGCUUUCCUGGACGCUACCUGUACAAGAUCUGAAGUGCUUCCCAGGUGGGCAGUAGUGCUGGGAGGCCCCGGCAGGAGGCCAGGCUGUACCCUUGCCACCUGUUUAAUAGGCUGAGCCCAAGUGUCCCUCAGGUGUGAAUCCAAGAGCCUUGGUGAGCUGUCACAACAUGCACGGAAACUUUCCGUAACUUCACCACCACCCCUAAGCCCCCACCCCACCACCCUGUUACCUGAGAAAGGCAGCUUUGUGGGCCAUGUUGUCACGGAAGGGCCUGGGCUGGCGGUGGGCUGGCAGUAGCUGGGCGCUCCUGACUGGCCGUCUUGGCCCCAUAGGCCCUGUCCAGUUGGUGUAAGAUUUGCCUUCGAGCCGUUGUGGCAGGCAGGCCAGGGGGCCUUUCUGGAGAUCCAGCCUGUGCCGGCCACUAGGGGCACAAAGAAACCAGGGCCUGGUCCCCAGCCGUGGGGCUGUAAGGGUGUCUGCCAUCGAUGGUGGCAUGAGGGGAGCACACACAAGUGCCAGCAGGUGGCACAGGCUCCAGCAAAUGUCGCAGAAGCACCUAAACGUUGAAAGGAAGUGGGGAGAGAAACCUGGACGUGGCCUGCCAGCAGCUGAAAAGUCCCCGCAAGACCUAGUGGCCCUUGCGGGCGCUGGGACCCCGCCACGUGCUGAAUUGAAUCCCUCCUCUGCUGCUGGAGACCACCCAGCUGUGGCCCCGACUUCCCUGAUCCCCAGGCGUUCAGGCCCCCGCCGCCAGGCCAUCCCUGUUGCCCACCCCCCCAUCCCACCCCAUCACUGGAAACGCGUGUGGUUUCCGAGGACUAGCGCGGGAGGAGCUGGCGCUGCCUGUGCCGUCUUCCUCGCUGGAGCAGCCGGUGGUGACCCCUGGAGAGAGCGCUCGGCCCGGCGCAGCCCCCCAGCUUUUGCCGUAUGUCUCCAGGAGGUUUUGAUGGAAGCGCCAUGAUUUGCCAUAACAACUUCAAAUCUCUGUAAAUAAGAAAUAUUUACGAGGAAUUGUGAAUUUCCCCUCCCCUCCUCACCCUGUGAUGAUUCUUCGUGAUGCAGUGACAGUAUUUGACUCCACGUUCCGGUGAUUGGUGGUGAAUUGCAGUUACUUUCAAUCGAGCUUCCGUUUGGAAGUUUCUGAAAAAAGUCCUGGAUGGACAGACGUCCAGGACAGGGUUCCAAAGAAAGGUAGAGUCCAGGUGGGCUUGGAGGGCAGGGCCCUGAGCGUCCAGCCCUGUGCCCAGUGCGUAGAAAGCACCCUGUGUUUAUAGAGUGAAUGAAUAAAAAUGUUAACAUUUAUUUACCACUUCCUACUUCGAAUAAUAGUUAUACACGUACUGCAUUUCAUUGACCCUAAGAGCCACCAGUUGUAAGACAUACCUUUCAUUCCUGUUUCACUAGGCAAGGAAAAAAUAUGUCCAUUUCACUAUGACUAUUCUCAGUCAUAGUGCUGUUAAGGCAUGUACUUAACUCAGACUGUUAAGUGCAUCCCAACUGUAGACAUGUUCCCAAAUUGGGAAAAAUACAUGGGUGGUAGGUAUCCUUUUCAUUUCUUUUUUUUUCCAAGACAGUCUCACUCUGUUGCCUGGGCUAGAGUGCAGUGGCAUCAGCCUAGCUCACAGCAACCUCAAAGUCCUGGGCUUAAGCGAUCCCUCCUGCCUCAGCCUUCCAAGUAGCUGAGACUACAGGCACACGCCACCAUGCCCGGCUAAUUUUUUCUAUGUAUUUUUAGUUGACCAGCUAGUUUCUUUCUAUUUUUUUAGUAGAGAUGGGGUCUCGCUCUUGCUCAGGCUGGUCUCGAACUCGGGAGCUCCAAUGAUCCAUCCACCUUGGCCUCCCAGAGUGAUAGGAUUACAGGCGUGAGCCACCACGCCCAGCCACCUUUUCAGAAGUGAUAACUAGCCAGGUGGCUGACAAGUUAGCCAAUAGUUACUAUUCUUGGCAAUGUCAGAUCAAAAGAUCAUUUUUAGACAAAGGUCCUAGAAGUGGGAAAGUGAACCAAGAACAGGGAUGGUCCUAUCAGAUGGACUGGCAAUAAUUAAGAUCCUAGGCUGCUCUUGAAUUUAACCUGGAUCUCACUCUGUCACCUGGGCUGGAGUUCAGUGAUGUCAGCAUAGGUUACUGCAACCUUAAAUUCCUGGGCUUGAAUGAUCCUCCUGCCUCAGCCUCUCAAGUAGCCUACAAGGGCACGCUAGCAUGCCCAGCUAAUUUUUCGUAGAGAUUGGGUCUCGCUGUGUUACCCAGGCUGGUCUGAAACUCCUGGCCUCAAGCGAUCCUCCUGCCUCAGCCUCCCAAAGUGCUGGGAUUACAGACGUGAGCCACGAAGCCUAGCCUCUGAACACUUUUUUAAAAAAGGGCCAGAUUGUAUGUAUCUGAGCCUGUAUCUCACAGGCCAGUCUGUUGCAACCACUCAGCUCUGCCCUGCUACAGGGAAGCAGCCAUCGACUGUAAAGAAACCAGAGUGGCUGUGUUCCAGGGAAGUUUCAUUUACAGGCACUGAAGUUAGAAUUUCAUGUAAUUUUCACAUGCCGCAAAAUAUUUUUCUGAAAUACAGCUAAUAUUUAUGGAGCACUCUGUGCCAUUUUAUAGAAACAAUUGUGUCACUUACUUUUCCCCAAAUCCUAUGAGGUCUCAUCUUUUUCUCACCCAGACAUUUAGAAAUAUCAAACCCAUUCUUAGCCCAGGGAGCUGUAUCCUGUGGCAGGCGGUAGUUUGCCGAUGCCUGCUCUGAAGUUUCUCAUUUCCUCCUCACGACUGUGGGGCCUUCUGUCAUCCCCAGUAACAGACAGCGAAGCAGAGGCCUAGACGGGGGCAGAGAGAAGGGCUCAGGUGGCACGCUGGGGGGUGCGGCCACGCUCACGGCCCCCUUGGGCGGCCCCUCCCCGCCCUUCCCAGAGCUGCAGCCCCCUCCUCGCUCCUUCCCUUCCUGCAGGUGAGAGGAAGUGAGCAGGACCUAAGAGGGCCCGGGCCACCCCAGGCUUCACCUGUAAGGAGCCGGUCGUGUGCGGAGCACUCCUGACCGCCGGGCCUGGGCACUUCUCUAUUCGCCACACGCUGUGAGGCUGUUAGGCGGGAGCCCGAAAAGUAUGUAGAGGACGGGACGCGAUUCAUCCCCCACCAGCUGCAGCCAGCACCCCCCCCCCACCACAGAGACGAAGUCUGUGCCUCCCUCCCUUCUGAUAAAGACUCUGGGGCUGAAGGAUGGCUGUGACUGGGGCAGGGGUCCUAGGAGCUGGUUGUUUAAGAAUUUAUUACAAGCGGCUGUUUUAGCCCACUUAUUUACUCUCCCCGGAAAACCUCCUAUAAAACCCACAGCUCUCUCUUUCCUGGGGCGGAUGCUUGUUCAGCCUCCACCCGUCUGCACCCAGGCGCUCAAAAUAAACAGCAUUUUGCUACACGAGGCUUUGUGUGUCUCUCUCUCGGCUCCGGACCUAACAGAGGCCACUUACUUUCUCCCGAUCUUACUAUUCCCUUCCCUUCUUUUACCCAGCCCUCCCCCUUCCUUGAGGAGCACAGGUCGCCGGGAAAGCUAUUUCCUGGCCAGAGAGGCCACAGUCCCGGCGAUCCCAGGACCCCCACAUCCAAGCAGCUCAGCAAAGCUUUGGAAGCUGGUCCUUAGCAGCCUGGAGGUGCUCGGAAGGGCCACUUCACUGCUCCCCCUGCAGGCCACGUCCCUGCCCUGGACACAGGGACCAAGUGACCCCCUGCAGGGGGUCAGUGGGUUGCCAUACACAAUCCCACUAACUGGGUGGCUUAACAACAGAAGUCUAUUCUCGCAGUUCUGGAGGCCAGGGGUCAGAAAUCAAGUGCCGGUAGGACCUGCUUCCUCCGAGACUCUGGGUAGGACCCUUCCUGGCUUCUCCUCACUUUGGGCGGAAGCUUCUGUCCCUGGUGUUCUAGGCGUGUGGUCGGAGCUCUCAUCUCCACCUCCGUCCUCACGUGACAUUCUUUCUGUGUGUGUCUGUGUGUCUUCUCAUCUUAUGGGGACACCAGUCAUGGUGGCUUAUGGCCCACCCUAAUGACCUCAUCCUGAAUUGACCCUGCUUCCAAAUAAGGAACAUUCACAGGGACCAGAGGUUAGGGGCUUCAACAUAUCUUUUUAGGUGACACAACGCAACCCACACAGGGACCUUGCCUCUGGGCCAACAGGCGCAGUGAAGAUUCCCCUCACCCCGUGUCCCAGAGCGUGUCUCCUAAGGGGCUGCGGUGUGCAUGACACGGGAGGACGCUCACGUGUGGAAGCUGGAAUAGGGAGAAGCCAUCUGGACGGGAACCCCAACUCCUCCACCUGCGAUCCAGUGCCCCACGCUCCAGCCCCAAC
rnacentral:lncRNA from 1 species